rnacentral:rRNA from 1 species
GACGAACGCUGACGGUGUGCUUUAGGCAUGCAAGUCGAACGAGAAAGCCCUUCGGGGUGAGUAGAGUGGCGAACGGGUGAGUAACACGUGGGCAACCUGCCCCUCGCAGGGGGACAACCGGAGGAAACUCCGGCUAAUACCCCGUAAGCUUUCAGGGUCGCAUGGCCCUGAAAGGAAAGGUAGCUUCGGCCAUCCGGCGAGGGAUGGGCCCGCGGUGCAUUAGCUAGUUGGUGGGGUAAAGGCCCACCAAGGCGACGAUGCGUAGCUGGUCUGAGAGGAUGAUCAGCCACACUGGGACUGAGACACGGCCCAGACUCCUACGGGAGGCAGCAGCCAGGAAUCUUGGGCAAUGGGCGAAAGCCUGACCCAGCAACACCGUGUGGGCGAUGAAGGCCUUCGGGUCGUAAAGCCCUGUUGAUGGGGACGAAGGGCGAAGGGUUAAUAGCCCCUAGCCUGACGGUACCUUUCGAGGAAGCCCCGGCUAACUACGUGCCAGCAGCCGCGGUAAUACGUAGGGGGCGAGCGUUGUCCGGAAUUAUUGGGCGUAAAGAGCGUGUAGGCGGUUCGGUAAGUCUGCCGUGAAAACCUGAGGCUCAACCUCGGGCGUGCGGUGGAUACUGCCGGGCUAGAGGACGGUAGAGGCGAGUGGAAUUCCCGGUGUAGCGGUGAAAUGCGCAGAUAUCGGGAGGA